rnacentral:rRNA from 1 species
AUACGUAGGGGGCGAGCGUUGUCCGGAAUGAUUGGGCGUAAAGGGCGCGUAGGCGGCCCGGUAAGUCUGGAGUGAAAGUCCUGUUUUUAAGAUGGGAAUUGCUUUGGAUACUGUCGGGCUUGAGUGCAGGAGAGGUAAGUGGAAUUCCCAGUGUAGCGGUGAAAUGCGUAGAGAUUGGGAGGAACACCAGUGGCGAAGGCGACUUACUGGACUGUAACUGACGCUGAGGCGCGAAAGUGUGGGGAGCAAACAGGAUUAGAUACCCUGGUAGUCCACACUGUAAACGAUGAAUGCUAGGUGUAAGAGGUAUCGACCCCUUUUGUGCCGGAGUUAACACAAGAAGCAUUCCGCCUGGGGAGUACGGCCGCAAGGUUGAAACUCAAAGGAAUUGACGGGG